rnacentral:lncRNA from 1 species
CUGCUGGGAGGAAAUAGGGCAUUAGAAUAGACUCUCUGGAAUUAUUUGGUUUUAAAAUCAUAUGCCUCAUAGCCCAUUUUAUUACUGAUAAUUAUUACAUAAAAAUAAAUAAUAUUUAUUGAAAAAGAAAGUGCAAAUAAGAGGCAAAGAACCUCAGUUUGAUUCCCCAGUUGUAAUGACUGUCAGCUAACUCCACCCAACACAAUAAACAAGUCAUACAUCAUUGGAGAAAAGUUGAUAAAUGUCAGUCAAACACAUUCUUAUGGUAGAGAGGAUGUAAUAACAUUAGCAUAUUUAAGGAUAAGACCCUGCCUAUUAAGCCCCAUUUUUCCUCUCAAAUUCCUUAAUCAGAUGGCACUAUAGAAAUAGGAGCAUCACUUUAAUAAUCCUUCAUUCAGGCUUUCCUAUUUGCCUACAAGGUUCUAUGAAACAAUAGAAUAAAGGUAAGAAUCCUAUCUUUGAUCAAUAAUUAAAUUUUUGUAAGAAAUAGAAUUCCAAAUGCAAUUUAGUGGCCUCAUAAUAUAAUGUUAAAUUAGUUAGAUAGAUCUUUUAUAACAUUCAAGUGAUUGAAAUUACUUUUAAAUAUUCAGUCUCUGAAUAGAAGGAUUAAUGGCUGUUCAACAAAUCAAAUCCACACUAAUGAUGCCAUAAACUUUAGGACAGGUAAUUACCUACUAAUAAUUAAAAAUUCCUUUUAGUUGGCCCUUCAAACUAAGUGGUAAGACUAACUAACAUAACAUGGUGAUAAAGAAUCAAUACGAAAUUGUAUGCAUAGUCAAAGACUAACCUGUAUGAUAUACUAAAGACAGUACAGGUUUUCUGUUGCUGUGGCUGUGAUACAGGCCAGUGGCUACAGCUCCAAUUCACCCUCUAACCUGGGCUCCUCCAUAUGUCAUGCGUGCGGCCCUAAAAAGAAAAAAGACAAAAAAAAAGACACUACAGGUUUUCAAAGGAAAGAAUUAUUAAUAAAGAGUCGAUCAAUAAUUCUUUCAUAGAAAAUAAAACCUUUAACUUGCAUUUUUAAGCUUUGAAUAAGUAAAAUUUCAUAUUCACACAAGGAUAAAAAUGAACAUAAAAUUCAUGGAGAUAGAAGAACAUUUUUUUCAUGGACAAAAAAGAAAAUAUAAUGAAGAAAAAAUGUCUGUUGGACAGACAUAGCUAAAAAGGUAGCAUAGGAUCAGACUAUUCUAAUCAUUUGAAACAAGAUAAAAAUUUUUAGACUUAAUCAGAAAGUAAUUCAUGGUUUUGGAUUAAAGUGGUGAAGUUUUGAGAAGAAAAUAAUAUUUAGGGAGAUCCGUCGUGGCUCAGUGGUAAGGAGCCUGACUAGUAUCCAUGAGGAUGCAGAUGCGAUCCCUGGCCGUGCUCAGUGUCAGCGAUCCCGCAUUUCCAUGAGCUGUGGUGUAGGUUGCAGAUGCAGCUCCAAUCUCCUGUUGCUGUGGCUGUGGUGUAGGCCAGCAGCUAUAGCUCCAAUUCUUCCCCUAGCCUGGGAACUUUCAUAUGUUGACGGUGCGGCCAUUAAAAAAAAAAAAAAAAAAAAAUUAAAGAAUUUUUGCAUGACACAUAGAAAUGAUGGAUUGGGUGAAGAUGAAAUGAGUUGAGAAGGACAUUUGAAGAGUGUCCUACUGUUUUGUUCAUUCUGGCACUAUUAAGAAUUAAACAAUCGGAGUAGCACAGACUUUGGUAUUCCAUUAAAUAUAGGUAACGAAUAAGAGGACUUGGUCAACAUUUCAAAUUGCAAGUUUGGUGAGAGAGAAUAUAAUCUCCAAGAAAGAAAUUGCAUAUUAAUAUAAUGAAGGGGCCUUGAACAUCCCCUUGUUACACCUAUGAAACAAUCUGUCUUAUGCUCAUUCCCUAGCUUGAUAGCAAACACGUGCUUUUAGAUCCAUGCUUCAAUGAUCAAUGACAUUCUAUCAAUUUCACUUAAGUUCCUGGGUGCUGGGGUCACAAACUUAAUGACUUCUCCUUAAAAUUUAUCUAUUAGGUGCAUUUCACACUUUUUCUCUUUGCCCAAAAAGUGAUCACUCGAAUGUAUUAGUGAAAUGUAAAGAUAUAUUCAUUUACAGAAUUAUUUUAUGAUAUUAUUCCAGAUUAAAUUUUCUGCUAGAUAUUAGAGACAUUAUUUAUAUGCUGUUUUUAUUUUUAAAAGGAGUAAAGGUAUUAGAAAGAUACUUAGAUCUAGUUAUCUGUCCUACCACUAGCAUACUUCAAGAAGAAAUGCAAAAUACUUCAAUAAAUCACAGAUUCUUUAACCAGCGUUAGGAACAUCUUUGAAUCUUGACCCCCCAAAAUAAAUUGUCUAGUUGAUUUUGUCUAUUUUCAGAAUAAAAUUUAAAUAAGACACACACUCAGUCCUAGAAACUGUUGUCUCCACAUCAAGACAUGGAACCAUAGGGGAUUAAAAUUCUUCAGUGUGCAGGCAAAAUGCUGAUUAGGAAAACACAAGGAACUAUACGUUCUCAAGUAAAUGGUUUACAUGCAGUUUAAAAAUAUUUAGGGAGUUCCCGCCAUGGUGCAGUGGUUAAUGAAUCCAACUAGGAACCACAAGGUUGGGGAUCGAUCCCUGGCCUUGCUCAGUGGGUUAACGAUCCGGUGUUGCCAUGAGCUGUGGUGUAGGUCAUAGACAUGGCUCGGAUCCCACGUUGCUGUGGCUGUGGUGUAGACUGGUGGCUACAGCUCCGAUUAGACCCCUAGCCUGGGAAUCUCCAUAUGCUGCAGGAACGGCCCUAGAAAAGGCAAAAAGACAAAAAAAUAAAUAAAUAAAUAAAAAUAAAAAUAUGUAGAAUUUAUUGGCUCUACAAAAAAUUCAUGGAGAUGAUAAAACAGAAAUAAAUAUGCUUCGUAUUUGUUCAUUUUUAUGGAAGCAUAGUUAAUUUAUAAUAUUAUGUUAGUUUCAACUGUACAGCCAAGUGAUUCAGUUACAUAUAUAUAUAUUUUUAAAGAUUCUUUUCCAUUAUAGGCUAUUACAAAAUAUUAAGUAUAGCUUCCUAUGCUAUCCAGUAGAUCCUUGUUGUUUACCUAUUUUAUACAUAGUAGUGUAUAUCAGUUAAUACUGUUUGUGUCAUAUUCAAUUUCUUUCAAUCAGUGUUUUACAGUUUUCAGGCCUUGGACUCCUUUGGGAGAUUUAUUCCUAGGUAUUUUAUUUUUUUGGUGCAACAGCAAAUGGGGCUGUUUACCUAAUUUCUCUUUCUAAUAUUUCAUUGUUAGUGUAUAUAAAUGCAAACUAUUUCUGUAUAUUAAUUUUGUAUCCAACAACUUUACCAAAUUCAUUGAUGAGCUCUAGUAGUUUUCCGGUAACAUCUUCAGUAUUUUCUACGUAUAGCAUCAUGUCAUCUGCAAACAGUGACAAUUUUACCUCUUCUUUUUCUAUUUGGAUUUUUUUCUUUCUUUUUCUUCUCUGAUUGCCGUGGCUAAGACUUCCAAAAUUAUGAAUAAAAGUGGAGAGAGUAGGAAUCCUUGUCUUGUUUCCCAUCUUAGAGGGAAUGCUUUUUAGCUUUCCAGUGCUGAAUAUAAUGUUUUAGCUUUGAGUUUGUCAUGUAUGGCCUUUAUUAGGUUGUGGAAGCUUCUCUCUAUGCCCACAAUCUGAAGUUUUUAUCACAGAUGGAUGUUGAAAUUUUAUCAAAAUUUUUUUCUAUAUCUAUUGAGAUGAUCAUACAGUUUUUAUUCUUUAAUUUUUUAAUGUGGUGUAUCACAUUGAUAUGCAGAUAUUGAAAAAUCCUUACCUUCGUGGGAUAAAUCCCACUUUAUCAUGAUGUAUCAUCCUUUCAAUGUAUUGAUGGAUUCAAGUUGCUAGUAUUUUGUUGAGGAAUUUUGCAUCUAUAUUCAUCAUUGAUACUGGCCUGUAAUUUUCAUUUCUGUGUACAUCACUGUCUGGUUAUCAGGGUGAUGGCUAGCCUUACAGAAUGAGUUUAAAAUUGUUCCUGUCUCUGCAAUUUUUGGGAUAGUUUCAGAAGGACAGGUGUUAACUCUUCUUUAAAUGUCUAGUAGAAUUCACCCAUUAAGCCAUUCGGUCCCGAACUUGUGAUUGUUGGGAAUCCAAAGAAUCAAAAGUAAUUUUUAUAACUACAGAUUAAAUUAUUAUAAUUUUAAUAAUUUAAAAAUUACUAUUUUUUAUAAUUACAGAUCAAUUUCCGUACUGGUAAUUGAUCUAUUCAUAUUUUCUAUUUCUUCUUGCUUUAGUCUUAGCAGAUGAUACCUUUCUGAGAAUUUGUCUAUUUCCUCUAGGUUUUCAUUUCUAUUAGAAUAUAAUUGUUCAUAAUAGUUUCUUCCAAUUCUUCAUAUUUCUGUGGUGUCAGUUGUAACUUCUUUCUUAUUUCUGACUUAAUUGACUUGGCACUUCUCUUUUUCUUUAUGAGACUGUCUAAAGGUUUAUCACUUUUGUUUAUCUUUUCAAAAAAACAGCUAUAAGUUUCAUUGAUCUUUUCAAUUAUUUUCAUCUGUAUUCCAUUUGUUUCUGCUCUGAUGUUUCUGAUUUCUUUUAUUCUACUGCUUUGGGUUUUGUUUGUUCUUCUUUUCUAGUUCCUUUAAGUGUAAGGUUAGGUUGUUUAUUUAACAUUUUCUUAUUUCCUAAGGUAAGCUUUUAUCAUUAUACACUUCCUACUUAGAACUGCUUUUGCUGUAUCCCAUAGGUUUU